GACGAACGCUGGCGGCGUGCUUAACACAUGCGAGUCGAACGGAAAGGCUCCAGCUUGCUGGAGUACUCGAGUGGCGAACGGGUGAGUAACACGUGGGUAAUCUGCCCUGCACUCUGGGAUAAGCCUGGGAAACUGGGUCUAAUACUGGAUAUGACCUUUCUCCUUAUGGGGUUUGGUGGAAAGUUUUUCGGUGUAGGAUGAGCCCGCGGCCUAUCAGCUUGUUGGUGGGGUGAUGGCCUACCAAGGCGACGACGGGUAGCCGGCCUGAGAGGGUGAUCGGCCACAUUGGGACUGAGAUACGGCCCAGACUCCUACGGGAGGCAGCAGUGGGGAAUAUUGCACAAUGGGCGGAAGCCUGAUGCAGCGACGCCGCGUGAGGGAUGACGGCCUUCGGGUUGUAAACCUCUUUCAGCAGGGACGAAGCGUAAGUGACGGUACCUGCAGAAGAAGCACCGGCUAACUAGGUG
rnacentral:rRNA from 1 species